UGGGGGAUAUUGCGCAAUGGGGGCAACCCUGACGCAGCAACGCCGCGUGAAGGAUGAAGGUUUUCGGAUUGUAAACUUCUUUUAUUAAGGACGAAAUUUGACGGUACUUAAUGAAUAAGCUCCGGCUAACUACGUGCCAGCAGCCGCGGUAAUACGUAGGGAGCAAGCGUUGUCCGGAUUUACUGGGUAUAAAGGGUGCGUAGGCGGCUUUGCAAGUCAGAUGUGAAAUCUAUGGGCUCAACCCAUAAACUGCAUUUGAAACUGUAGAGCUUGAGUGAAGUAGAGGCAGGCGGAAUUCCCCGUGUAGCGGUGAAAUGCGUAGAGAUGGGGAGGAACACCAGUGGCGAAGGCGGCCUGCUGGGCUUUAACUGACGCUGAGGCACGAAAGCGUGGGUAGCAAACAGGAUUAGAUACCCUGGUAGUCCACGCUGUAAACGAUGAUUACUAGGUGUGGGGGGUCUGACCCCUUCCGUGCCGGAGUUAACACAAUAAGUAAUCCACCUGGGGAGUACGGCCGCAAGGUUGAAACUCAAAGGAAUUGACGGGGGCCCGCACAAGCAGUGGAGUAUGUGGUUUAAUUCGAAGCAACGCGAAGAACCUUACCAGGUCUUGACAUCCAACUAACGAAGUAGAGAUACAUUAGGUGCCCUUCGGGGAAAGUUGAGACAGGUGGUGCAUGGUUGUCGUCAGCUCGUGUCGUGAGAUGUUGGGUUAAGUCCCGCAACGAGCGCAACCCUUGCUAUUAGUUGCUACGCAAGAGCACUCUAAUAGGACUGCCGUUGACAAAACGGAGGAAGGUGGGGACGACGUCAAAUCAUCAUGCCCCUUAUGACCUGGGCUACACACGUACUACAAUGGAUGUUAACAGAGGGAAGCAAGACAGUGAUGUGGAGCAAACCCCUAAAAACAUUCUCAGUUCAGAUUGCAGGCUGCAACCCGCCUGCAUGAAGAUGGAAUUGCUAGUAAUCGCGGAUCAGAAUGCCGCGGUGAAUACGUUCCC
rnacentral:rRNA from 1 species